GUAGGUGGCAAGCGUUGUCCGGAAUUAUUGGGCGUAAAGCGCGCGCAGGCGGUUCUUUAAGUCUGAUGUGAGAGCCCACGGCUCAACCGUGGAGGGUCAUUGGAAACUGGAGAACUUGAGUACAGAAGAGGAAAGCGGAAUUCCACGUGUAGCGGUGAAAUGCGUAGAGAUGUGGAGGAACACCAGUGGCGAAGGCGGCUUUCUGGUCUGUAACUGACGCUGAGGCGCGAAAGCGUGGGGGAGCAAACAGGAUUAGAUACCCUGGUAGUCCACGCCGUAAACGAUGAGUGCUAAGUGUUAGGGGGUUUCCGCCCCUUAGUGCUGCAGCUAACGCAUUAAGCACUCCGCCUGGGAGUACGGCCCAAGGCUG
rnacentral:rRNA from 1 species